ACGCUCGACACCUACGGGAGCAGCAGUGGGGAAUAUUGCACAAUGGGGGAAACCCUGAUGCAGCGACGCCGCGUGAGCGAAGAAGUAUUUCGGUAUGUAAAGCUCUAUCAGCAGGGAAGAAACUGACGGUACCUGACUAAGAAGCACCGGCUAAAUACGUGCCAGCAGCCGUGAGUAUGNGNGGCGNGNGAGAG
rnacentral:rRNA from 1 species